rnacentral:rRNA from 1 species
CAGUAGCCGCGGGAAUACAGAGGGUGCGAGCGUUAAUCGGAUUUACUGGGCGUAAAGCGUGCGUAGGCGGCUUCUUAAGUCGGAUGUGAAAUCCCUGAGCUUAACUUAGGAAUUGCAUUCGAUACUGGGAAGCUAGAGUAUGGGAGAGGAUGGUGGAAUUCCCGGUGUAGCGGUGAAAUGCGUAGAGAUCGGGAGGAACAUCAGUGGCGAAGGCGGCCAUCUGGGACAACACUGACGCUGAGGCACGAAAGCGUGGGGAGCAAACAGGAUUAGAUACCCGUGUAGUCCCUGUCUCUUAUAA